UCCAGAGGGGGCAAGCGUUGUUCGGAAUUACUGGGCGUAAAGGGCGCGUAGGCGGCCCGCUAAGUCGCACGUGAAAUCCCCGAGCUCAACUCGGGAACUGCGUCCGAUACUGGCGGGCUUGAAUCCGGGAGAGGGAUGCGGAAUUCCAGGUGUAGCGGUGAAAUGCGUAGAUAUCUGGAGGAACACCGGUGGCGAAGGCGGCAUCCUGGACCGGCAUUGACGCUGAGGCGCGAAAGCUAGGGGAGCAAACGGG
rnacentral:rRNA from 1 species